UACGGAGGAUGCGAGCGUUAUCCGGAUUUAUUGGGUUUAAAGGGUGCGUAGGCGGCUUUUUAAGUCAGCGGUGAAAUUUUGCAGCUUAACUGUAACAGUGCCGUUGAUACUGGGGAGCUAGGAUUGGUUGCUGUGGUGGAAUGUGUGGUGUAGCGGUGAAAUGCUUAGAGAUCACACAGAAUAUCGAUUGCGAAGGCAGCUCACAAAGCCAAGAUUGACGCUGAGGCACGAAAGUGUGGGGAUCAAACCAGGAUUAGA
rnacentral:rRNA from 1 species